rnacentral:rRNA from 1 species
CCUAGGGGAGGCAGCAGUAGGGAAUAUUGGGCAAUGGGCGUAAGCCUGACCCAGCGACGCCGCGUGAGGGAUGAAGGUCUUCGGAUUGUAAACCUCUUUCAGUAGGGAAGAAGCGAAAGUGACGGUACCUAAAGAAGAAGCACCGGCUAACUAUGUGCCAGCAGCCGCGGUAAU